GGCCGGAUAACUCAAUCGGUUAGAGCGUCGUGCUAAUAAUGCGAAGGUCGGGGGUUCGAUCCCUCCUCUGGCCA
rnacentral:tRNA from 1 species